rnacentral:rRNA from 1 species
UACAGAGACUGCAAGCGUUAUUCGGAUUCACUGGGCGUAAAGGGUGCGCAGGCGGCCAUGUGUGUCAGACGUGAAAUCCCUCGGCUUAACCGGGGAACUGCGUCUGAUACUGGAUGGCUUGAGUUCGGGAGAGGGAUGCGGAAUUCCAGGUGUAGCGGUGAAAUGCGUAGAUAUCUGGAGGAACACCGAUGGCGAAGGCGGCAUCCUGGACCGACACUGACGCUGAGGAGCGAAAGCCAGGGGAGCAAACGGG